rnacentral:rRNA from 1 species
CUUUCCCUCUUUCUUCAGGCCUAGCACAUGCAAGUCGAGCGGAUGAAGGGAGCUUGCUCCUGGAUUCAGCGGCGGACGGGUGAGUAAUGCCUAGGAAUCUGCCUGGUAGUGGGGGAUAACGUCCGGAAACGGGCGCUAAUACCGCAUACGUCCUGAGGGAGAAAGUGGGGGAUCUUCGGACCUCACGCUAUCAGAUGAGCCUAGGUCGGAUUAGCUAGUUGGUGGGGUAAAGGCCUACCAAGGCGACGAUCCGUGACUGGUCUGAGAGGAUGAUCAGUCACACUGGAACUGAGACACGGUCCAGACUCCUACGGGAGGCAGCAGUGGGGAAUAUUGGACAAUGGGCGAAAGCCUGAUCCAGCCAUGCCGCGUGUGUGAAGAAGGUCUUCGGAUUGUAAAGCACUUUAAGUUGGGAGGAAGGGCAGUAAGUUAAUACCUUGCUGUUUUGACGUUACCAACAGAAUAAGCACCGGCUAACUUCGUG